GACGAACGCUGGCGGCGUGCUUAACACAUGCAAGUCGAACGGUGAAGCGCCUUCCUUUUUGGUGGGUGUGGAUGAGUGGCGAACGGGUGAGUAACACGUGAGUAACCUGCCCCCUUCUUCUGGAUAACCGCAUGAAAGCGUGGCUAAUACGGGAUAUUCUGGUUCUGUCGCAUGAUGGGUCUGGGAAAGAUAUUGUUUCGGUGGGGGAUGGGCUCGCGGCCUAUCAGCUUGUUGGUGGGGUGAUGGCCUACCAAGGCGGUGACGGGUAGCCGGCCUGAGAGGGUGGACGGUCACACUGGGACUGAGACACGGCCCAGACUCCUACGGGAGGCAGCAGUGGGGAAUAUUGCACAAUGGGCGCAAGCCUGAUGCAGCGACGCCGCGUGAGGGAUGGAGGCCUUCGGGUUGUGAACCUCUUUCGCCAGUGAAGCAGGCCUGCCUCGUUUGUGGGUGGGUUGACGGUAGCUGGAUAAGAAGCGCCGGCUAACUACGUG
rnacentral:rRNA from 1 species